AACGAACGCUGGCGGCGUGCUUAACACAUGCAAGUCGAACGGAAAGGCCCUUCGGGGUGCUCGAGUGGCGAACGGGUGAGUAACACGUGGGUGAUCUGCCCUGCACUUUGGGAUAAGCCUGGGAAACUGGGUCUAAUACCGAAUAGGACUCCGGACUGCAUGGUCUGGGGUGGAAAGCUUUUGCGGUGUGGGAUGGGCCCGCGGCCUAUCAGCUUGUUGGUGGGGUGAUGGCCUACCAAGGCGACGACGGGUAGCCGGCCUGAGAGGGUGACCGUCCAAACUGGGACUGAGAUACGGCCCAGCCUCCUACGGGAGGCAGCAGUGGGGAAUAUUGCACAAUGGGCGCAAGCCUGAUGCAGCGACGCCGCGUGAGGGAUGACGGCCUUCGGGUUGUAAACCUCUUUCGGUAGGGACGAAGCGCAAGUGACGGUACCUACAGAAGAAGGACCGGCCAACUACGUGCCAGCAGCCGCAGUAA
rnacentral:rRNA from 1 species